rnacentral:rRNA from 1 species
GACGAACGCUGGCGGCGUGCCUAACACAUGCAAGUCGAACGGAGUAUUUCUUCGGAGAUACUUAGUGGCGAACGGGUGAGUAACGCGUGAGAAACCUGCCUUUCAGUGGGGGACAACAGUUGGAGACGACUGCUAAUACCGCAUAAUGUUUCGAGAGGGCAUCCUCUUGAAACCAAAGAUUUAUUGCUGAAAGAUGGUCUCGCGUCUGAUUAGCUAGUUGGCGGGGUAACGGCCCACCAAGGCGACGAUCAGUAGCCGGUCUGAGAGGAUGAACGGCCACAUUGGGACUGAGAUACGGCCCAG